GAGGAAUAAGCAUCGGCUAACUCCGUGCCAGCAGCCGCGGUAAUACGGAGGAUGCGAGCGUUAUCCGGAUUUAUUGGGUUUAAAGGGUGCGUAGGUGGGCUGUUAAGUCCGCGGUGAAAGUUUGUCGCUUAACGAUAAAAUUGCCGUUGAAACUGGUAGUCUUGAGUAUAGAUGAAGUAGGCGGAAUGCGUGGUGUAGCGGUGAAAUGCAUAGAGAUCACGCAGAACUCCGAUUGCGAAGGCAGCUUACUAAGGUAUAACUGACACUGAAGCACGAAAGCGUGGGUAUCAAACAGGAUUAGAUACCCUGGUAGUCCACGCAGUAAACGAUGAUUACUAGGAGUUUGCGAUAUAGUGUAAGCUCUACAGCGAAAGCGUUAAGUAAUCCACCUGGGGAGUACGCCGGCAACGGUGAAACUCAAAGGAAUUGACGGGGGCCCGCACAAGCGGAGGAACAUGUGGUUUAAUUCGAUGAUACGCGAGGAACCUUACCCGGGAUUGAAAUGUAGACGACGGAGAGUGAGAGCUUUCUUCCCUUCGGGGCGUCUAUGUAGGUGCUGCAUGGUUGUCGUCAGCUCGUGCCGUGAGGUGUCGGCUUAAGUGCCAUAACGAGCGCAACCCUGACUGUCAGUUGCUAACAGGUAAAGCUGANGACUCUGGCGGGACUGCCGGCGUAAGCUGUGAGGAAGGUUGGGAUGACGUCAAAUCAGCACGGCCCUUACAUCCGGGGCGACACACGUGUUACAAUGG
rnacentral:rRNA from 1 species